AGACAUCCUUGGCAUUAAGUGGGUGGGUUUAGGAUGCUUUGGUGGGCGUCUUCACACUUUAAUAAGUAUAGGCCCUUAGAUGGGCUCACAAGGCAUCACACACGGCCAAGGAUGUGAACAAGGCAAAGCUUGGAGUUGUUGCAACUCACGUACUUUACUUCGUAUGAAAGGUCUCGAGCUAGGAAUUUCGGUAUUACUAAUAAACACUAUGAUAAAAAGUCUCGGUUGGAGCUUCUAUCUAUUGACUUUAUUUUGCUUGUGUCUUUCCCAGACCAUUGUCGUCAUUUCCUUAUUUUAUCACUAAGCUUCUUCUUCAUCUCUGGUGAGCUUAACAUGGUCAUGAGAGCUGGUAGAGAAAGCUUAAUUGGAGACGUGAAACUCGUUGGUGCCAUCUUGGCUUGUCCUUUCCUAUUGAUCCCAUCGGUAGAAAAUAUUGAGCAAGCUUUGACUUACAAGCUUUGAAAUAUCAUUUGUCCACCAUCUGAACCUGGAAUUGAUAGUUCUUGAGCCAAACAUGAUACAUGAUUAUGCACAAGAAUUGAUGUUAGCCUAUUAUACCUUAGAAGUCAAUGCCGGAAAAACUAUCUUACCUACUCUCUGUUGUUUUCACUAUUGGUCCUCGGACUGAUGACCACAACAAUCUUGUCAAAUACGUGAGGCUUCUUUCUCUUCAUCAGCGCAAUUCUCAUCAUGUCAAGGCAUCAUUGAGGGAAAAACGCGUGUCUUGACUGCUUUAAUGUCGAUGGGAGACUUCUUUAAAGGUAAAGCUCAAGUAAGAGACCAACUAUACUGGCAUUGGCCAUGUUUCAUUCUAAGAUGAUAUUCAUUAGACAUCUCCUGGCCGAAGGACCCGAGAAGCUUGUUGGUUCACUUCUGGCUGAUAGAUAUGUGACCCUAUUGAAAGGUUGUAAUGCUUGGUGUGGCCAAAAGUUGGCUAAAGGGGAAAUAAACCUUGAUAUGGGUGACAACAUCAAAAGAGAAGGGAAUGAUACAAGUUUAAUGAUUAAGUUGUUAUAUAAGAGACAUUUUUAUUUAUGUACUUGAGUCUUCAACUGCCUUCAUGCGUAUCUAAAUUUCUUUUCGCGAGAAGAUUUCAUGAGGAAUGAAUUGUCAGGCUAUGUUGAUGUAUGCUUUUCUUAAAAGCUAACCUAUACGUGUCUUGCUACUGUCACUGAAUAAGACACGCUGCAGACCACUUUGAGAAUUUAGUUUUUCCUAAAAUUCUCCACAUCCUCCGUGGCCGCUUGAGUAUCUCUUUUUCACUUUUUUGUAAAACAUAGCAAAAAGGAAAGGCAAGAAUAUCCAUGGAUUACAGUCGUUCUUUACCUUUUCUCUGUUUGGGCUGGUAUUAUCGAAAAUAUUUUUUUGGAGUAUGUUUUGUGCUAAUGAUUGGUCUAUUUUUUAUUCUUGUAUUUGUUGAUUGACUCUGAGCUUAAAUGAAGUGAUAUAUCAGUGAAGAUUCACUUGAUCGACCUCAGUUUGUUUGAGACUAAUGCGUCAUUAUUCUUAUUGUUAUUGUACAGGUUACAAGUAGUAGUGAGCAAGGGACAAGAGGAUGUGGGAAAACAGGAGGAACAAUAAAGUCACCAAGAUUAAUGUUUAGGAUAUUUGAUAUGGAAAUGUACACAAUUGAUCCUUUGAUUUCUCAACUUGCAGAACUAAUGUCCUUCUGUCCAAAAUAUUCGUACCCACAGCCACAUCCCUACCCUGUUUCCCCAGCUACACAACCAUCAAAACUUCAAGCUCCACCACUGCCUCCAUUUCCACCUACUCCCUCAUUGCCUCCUUUACUCCCAAUGGAUGCUUUCCCCUAUUUGGAAACUUAAGCUUGCUCACACCAGUAAGUUAUUAUUGUCCAACUCACACUUUUAUAACAAUAAAGUAUGAAUCUAACUUAUUUAUUUCUCACAUACCAAAAGUUUUUACACUAUAAAAUUACCUAAACGAUAAGUGGAGGUAACCGUCUGUAAGAUAACUUGCCGCUACAACAUGUUAAAAUAGAUUGAGAGUGUAAUAUUCUUUCUACUGUCUGUGUAUAUGAGAUAUUCCAGCUCAACUUACUUAUUCUCUUGAAAUUGUUUUUAUUGAUAUUGUACAUAUGGACCAUUAUUUUGUCCCCAUCUUUAACUAUUUUUUUUACUAUAAGUUUUUCUCAAUGUUGGUGUAGCGUAGUCAAAUAGGGAUAAAAAUAUGUUUUCGUGUUGAGACCGGAGAAAGAAAAUUGUACAACUUUGUAAUACAAUGGCAACAUUUGUUCUACAAUAACCUUGGAUGAUACCACAAUAAGACAUUUCUUUGGUCCCAAUUUAUGUAGUAUAGUUUAAUUAGGGGCGAAGAUAAAAUCGAAUUAUUUUUAAAUAUAGAAAUGUAAUGUUGUUUUACUACAGGAGCUGGAUGAUGCCAGAGUACAGAUGCUACUAGAAAAUUAUAAAUCCAGAUUCAAAAGUAGGUGUUGUAUUUGGUCUACUUGUUGCUAGAAAAUAUAGAAAUGAUAUAACACUAUGGGAAGGAAUGAAAGGCAGGGGAAAACCUUAUAAAACUUUGUUGAGGGAAGGGACAACUGCAUUUUUGAAUUCUUAUAACAGUGUACAGUUUCCUUAUCAUCCAUUUGGGGUCAUUCAACCUAUGAAUUUGGCAUUAAUGAGAUCAACACAACAAGUUCUCCAUACAACUUUGGGUUUCUUGAGGGCUAAUUCUGGCAAUGGAAGAUUCACUUGUCAUUAGCUCAACACCUUACGAUGUGCUUGAAUUGUAUGGACUGACUUUUUUUUUUUUCAAAUAUUCAAAUGGUACUCUGUUUUGCGCUUCAAUCGGUGGAUCAAAUAAAAGGUCAAGUAAUGCACCACAAGAAUACCAUGGCUCUUUGACGAUUCUAUCAAUGCAAGAAAAUUAACAUUGAUGAAAUCAAAAAUCGCGCCUUCAACAAUUUGUAUUUAAUUUUCUACAAAUGCUUUCUGCAUUAACAUAUGAAAUUCAACUGUAUAAAGCUCUUUUAUCGUCGCUACGAUGGAAGCUGAA